rnacentral:rRNA from 1 species
CCUACGGGUGGCAGCAGUAGGGAAUAUUGCUCAAUGGGCGAAACCCUGAAGCAGCAACGUCGCGUGGAGGAUGAAGGUUCUCGGAUUGUUAACUCCUUUUGUUAGAGAAGAUAAUGACGGUAUCUAACGAAUUAUGCCCGUCUAACUCCGUGCCAGCCGCCGCGGUAAUACGGAGGGUGCAAGCGUUACUCGGAAUCACUGGGCGUAAAGCGCGCGUAGGCGGGAUAGCAAGUCAGUUGUGAAAUCCUAUGGCUUAACCAUAGAACUGCAUUUGAAACUGUUAUUCUAGAGUAUGGGAGAGGUAGGUGGAAUUCUUGGUGUAGGGGUAAAAUCCGUAGAGAUCAAGAGGAAUACUGAUUGCGAAGGCAACCUGCUAGAACAUAACUGACGCUGAUGCGCGAAGGCGUGGGGAGCAAACAGGAUUAGAUACCCUAGUAGUC